rnacentral:rRNA from 1 species
CCAGCAGCCGCGGUAAUUCCAGCUCCAAUAGUGUAUAUUAAAGUUGUUGCAGUUAAAAAGCUCGUAGUUGAACUUCUGGCAGUGUGCAGUUAUGGCUUCGGUCAGACUGUUCGCUGUCAUCCGUCUGCAAACCUUGUUCGGCCUUCACUGGUACGGCAAGGGGAGUAGACAUUUUACUUUGAAAAAAUUAGAGUGUUUCAAGCAGGCUAUCGCCAGAAUACUUUAGCAUGGAAUAAUGGAAUAGGACUCUUGUCCAUUUGGUUGGUUAUUGGAUUAGAGUAAUGAUUAAUAGGGACAGUUGGGGGCAUUAGUAUUUAAUUGUCAGAGGUGAAAUUCAUGGAUUU